UCCAGUUAACCGUUAAUCAACAAAGACGUUAACUUUGAUAACAGUUAAUUUUUCAACAGAUGACGGUCUACCCAGUAAAAGAUUGAACCAAAACACAUUGUAUCCAUUAAGAUCCAAAGAUUACUUCACAUCUACAAAGACUCUAGCUCAAGGUGUCUUCGAUCAGUUUCCCAUGUAUGCACAGAGUUUGGAUCCCUCUUCUUUCUAAGGUACCAGAGGACUGCAGUUGUGGCUGCCAGCCAGAAUCAGAGCACCUGAGCUGCACACUCCCAAGAGACACAGAGACCCAGCUCCCAGAGGUGCAGCGGAUCUCCCUCGCACUUUUGUCUUUGUUCGACUUUUGUUUUGUUUGCACAAGCACGUUGCUCUCCAUGAUGAUGUUGCAUUUGCAGCUACUUAUGAUACAGCAUUACGGAAUAAAAAUGUGUUACUUAUUGACUGUCAUCAAUUGGAUCCUUCACUUUAUCUGUACCUGUCUGAGAUGUAAGAGAUACUAACUUUUUACACCUGAGCUGUGAGCUAAUAAAACCCUGACAAUGUUCA